CGUUACUUUAUAACCUUCCAGUCUCCCACUUAUACACUUUUAUAAGAAGUUCCAGAAGAAAGAUCCAACUAAAGUAUUACAAUUACAAAUGAUGAUGAACUAUCGAUUCAAAUGAGAAAACGUACUGAUCCCCAGAAAAACAAAAGCUAGAUGUGUAUUUAGUCUCUUUUUAACUGGAGUUCUUUACGUAAAUUAAAGUCUUUAAUUCGUGUUGCUUUUAUUAACAAUGACAUUGACCCAAACUGAAAUCAUCCCUUCCGAACAUUUACAAGAGCCGAACACAGGAACAUCAAUGGCGACGUCACAUUGGCCAGAUGACUCCUCCAUCCAAUCGCUUUUGCCUCCGGUAACGUGAACUCACGUUGGCCGCGUGUCAUGCUUUAACAAUUAAAUUGGUCGCGUUAAAGCGCGGUACUUGGAUUGGAAGGCGUAGCUAGUAAUAUUCCUGUCACAAACACUACAAACAGCUAUUACCUAUGUCACUGCCGCAUCCUGCCAGCUGGAGACGCCUCGACGACGUGGUUGCUAACAUAAAGCAGCUGGGAAGUGAUGCAGCCUGACUAAUCCGGUGGAUAUCAUAGUCCUAAAGCUGCAAGGUAAACAUUCCAUGGAGCCUGAGGUCAUCACUACAGGCCACUCCACUCCACAGGGACACCUCUCUGGAGCGUGACCCAGGCAUAUAGGAGCUGUCAUCGAAACAGUAACAAGUGCUGGGACAAAAACUCCUAAUAGAAGCGGGAGCUGCAAUUUUCUGUAAUUGUGGAGAGAGAAAAUAAUAAUACAAUGGAGAGUCUUUGAAGACGAGGCUCCGCCUGCCCAGCCCGCCACCGCCCAGCUGACCGCGUUUGGAGCCUUCCGUACUUCUGCCAUCAACAUUAAAAGGAGGGCAUUAUUUCUGAGCGCUCUGUUCGAGGGAGGAACUACUACGGCAGCAGGAGAGAGUGGCCAGCAGAACCAGAAGUCCAGAUGAAACCGAAAGUUAGGCUACAUGAGGGCUCUUCACAGCUGCUUAGUUCUUCUAAUACACAAUUUAUGAGUAAAUAAAAAAAGAAUUUGGGGGGAAAAAAAAAUCCACCAAUUCUAAUAGCCAGAGGCAUUUCUGCAACCAGGAAAAUAAAACUCGAAAGUGGGAAGGCCUCCGGUUUCUGUGCCCCGGGGCAGGGGAGCCUCCACUGGGCCACGUUUGCUCUAAAGCCAGAACCACUGGGGGUUCUGAAAGCUGACGGCAUGGGGCCAUGGGCAGCUCUCCUGCUUUCGACUCCUCGCCGUGUGCACUCUGCGCUUCUUUAACCUCUACCUUACCCUCUCCUCAGCUUUCAGAGAGCAAAACUUUUUUCCAAGUGUUUUUUGGUGGUGUUUGGUUCUUCACCCCGUAUCUCCCCAUCUCACUCAGUCCCUGACCAUUGUUUGUUUCCAAAGGCGCAAACUAAACCACGCAUGAGGGGUGUUUUAUUAGAACAACCUGCUGAUCAGGGUUAAAUUUACCUCCAUCCCUGAGCUGUUAGUCUUGCUCAACAUGACAAGCCAGGGAACACUGUGAGCACAAAAGCUGUCAUCAAGCCUGGCUGUUAUCUAUCUGUAUUUGUUUAACAGGUGUGGACAACACACUAUGUAAACACAAAAAGGUUACCCGUAUCCUUAAGAUACUGUAUAACGCUAAUUUCAAUUUGGUGGAAAAACAUGGCAAAUAAGCUCUAUACAUUAACACUUCAGUCUUUGCUAAACGGGUAACAAUGUAGUCUAUCCUUGAAUGACAACAGCAUGUAGGGCUGGAACAGAGCUGCCACUUUGCAGACGCACAUCCUCAGUCUAGACAAGCUCUUUUUCAACAGCCGUUUACCAGCACAAAGACAAAAAAGCUCCCUCUACUCUUACCAUAUGAUUUAUACCAAAAUCUAAAACUAAGAUGUCAAAAACAACACAGGCGCUGCUUUUUGGCCACGGGCGGCAGAUGCCAGAGAAGGAGAGGGGUCCUGACGGCCAGGCACAGCAGCGCUCCGCAUUCACGGAGCGGCGCAGGAGGUGCAAGCACGCGCCUGCCGUCAGAGUCUGCAGAACUGCAGCACGCAGCCCAAAGACACCAGUUGGCUGCCAUCUCCACUCCGUUUCCACACUGGUAGGCCAGAUUACACCACCCUGCCAGACACAUGCCACAGGGAUUAGAAUUAUCAUUAUUUUUUUAAACCCAGAACCUCAUGUCUAAUGGUAAAGACUCUCAAUAGGUCACAUUUGUCUGUACACAAUGAACAGGAACACAAGAAGGAACUAAAAAUAGAGGAAUGGCUCAAAGGACAUGGGAGUCUUACUGGCCGUAACAUAUGCUGCGUUCCAUUUGAACUCGUAAAUCGGAAAUUCCAAGUUCCUAGUCGGAAAUUACAACUGGAACGCCCCCUCAAGUCGGAAUUCUGACUCGUGGUGUCGAAGGAGUCUACACAACCCAGACCAUUAUCAACAGAAGUUAAAGCUGUAGUUCUGUAUUGUUUAUUAGCAUUUAACUCUUAUUUGUGGCUCAUUAAAUCUGUACACACCGUACUGUCCAACUGCUAUCUGUGGACGUGUUAAUACAGUAUUUUUAUGAGUAAAA